rnacentral:sRNA from 1 species
UGCUAAAGGGGCUUCCAAAAUAGUCACA